UGGGGAAUAUUGCACAAUGGGCGCAAGCCUGAUGCAGCCAUGCCGCGUGUAUGAAGAAGGCCUUCGGGUUGUAAAGUACUUUCAGCGGGGAGGAAGGCGAUAAGGUUAAUAACCUUGUCGAUUGACGUUACCCGCAGAAGAAGCACCGGCUAACUCCGUGCCAGCAGCCGCGGUAAUACGGAGGGUGCAAGCGCUAAUCGGAAUUACUGGGCGUAAAGCGCACGCAGGCGGUCUGUCAAGUCGGAUGUGAAAUCCCCGGGCUCAACCUGGGAACUGCAUUCGAAACUGGCAGGCUAGAGUCUUGUAGAGGGGGGUAGAAUUCCAGGUGUAGCGGUGAAAUGCGUAGAGAUCUGGAGGAAUACCGGUGGCGAAGGCGGCCCCCUGGACAAAGACUGACGCUCAGGUGCGAAAGCGUGGGGAGCAAACA
rnacentral:rRNA from 1 species